AACGCUGGCGGCGUGCUUAACACAUGCAAGUCGAACGAUGAACCGGAGCUUGCUCCGGGGAUUAGUGGCGAACGGGUGAGUAACACGUGGGCAACCUGCCCCAGACAUCGGGAUAACCAUUCGAAAGGAUGGCUAAUACCGGAUAUGACCACUUCGGGCAUCCGAUGGUGGUGGAAAGGAUUCUGGUCUGGGAUGGGCCCGCGGCCUAUCAGCUAGUUGGUGGGGUAAUGGCCUACCAAGGCGACGACGGGUAGCCGGCCUGAGAGGGCGACCGGCCACACUGGGACCGAGACACGGCCCAGACUCCUACGGGAGGCAGCAGUGGGGAAUAUUGCGCAAUGGGCGAAAGCCUGACGCAGCGACGCCGCGUGAGGGACGAAGGUCUUCGGAUUGUAAACCUCUUUCAGCAGGGACGAAGCGAAAGUGACUGUACCUGCAGAAGAAGCACCGGCUAACUACGUG
rnacentral:rRNA from 1 species